GUGGGGAAUAUUGCGCAAUGGGCGAAAGCCUGACGCAGCGACGCCGCGUGAGGGAUGAAGGUUUUCGGAUCGUAAACCUCUGUCAGAAGGGAAGAAACUACGUUGUGCUAAUCAGCAGCGUACUGACGGUACCUUCAAAGGAAGCACCGGCUAACUCCGUGCCAGCAGCCGCGGUAAUACGGAGGGUGCAAGCGUUAAUCGGAAUUACUGGGCGUAAAGCGCACGUAGGCUGUAGUGUAAGUCAGGGGUGAAAUCCCACGGCUCAACCGUGGAACUGCCUUUGAUACUGCACAACUUGAAUCCGGGAGAGGGUGGCGGAAUUCCAGGUGUAGGAGUGAAAUCCGUAGAUAUCAGGAAGAACACCGGUGGCGAAGGCGGCUUGCUGGACAGUAACUGACGUUGAGGCUCGAAAGCGUGGGGAGCAAACAGGAUUAGAUACCCUAGUAGUCC
rnacentral:rRNA from 1 species